CGGCCACACAAUUGACAAAGCCUCCAUUCGUGGUGCCUGCUCCUCCUCUCUUCCUUCUCCCCGUGGUGCUCCUCUUGCAGGCCAGGCCUUCCUUCUAUUCUGCUGCUGCUGCUGCUGCUCCUCCUCCUCCUCUCCCCCAUGCCAUGAGAGAGGGCUUGCUCCAUUUCUAGCAAAGCAUAGCCACCUCGACUUAGUCAGUGGAUCCUUGUGAUUUUAGCGCAGGAGAUCCAGAACAGAAGGGGCGCCAUCCUAAGCUUGUGGUCCCGUCCAUAUAUGAUGAAUGUUCAGGAUCUCUCUCUCGGUCUCUCUCUGAGCCUGAGAGGGAGAUCGUUCGUCAGCAGCAAGGGCGCCAAGGUGCAGUGCCUAGUUUCUUCUAGUUGCUGUUCAGCAGCAGGUGCUAGAUGCAGCAUCCACCGGCGGCACACAAGGAGGAGGUUGGCAGUGAUGAGCACCAGAGCGGCCGGCGGCGACAGAUCAGGUGGCGGUGAAUCUGAAUCGUCCUCCUCUAGCAGCGGCGGCCGCGAUGAUGAUGAUGAAGAAACAAGGCGAAGCAGCAGCUUGUCCCCAGAGGAUCUGGAACGGCUGGUGGGGCCUGACGAUGACGACAAGUUCCACGGGUUGGAUCUUGCAAACCUCAUCAGGAAGAAGUACGGCAGAUCCUACGAUGUGACGCUGAUAAAGAAGGAGUUCAUGGGACGGAAUCUUCUGGCUCUGAAUGUGAUGUGGAAGUACCGGGAGCAGCGGUCUUUCCCUCUGAGCGAGGAGGAGUACCUGCUGCGGCUGGACGAGGUGGCCAACACGCUGCGCUGCUGGGGAGCCGUGGCGCAUGUCCGCAACACGCUGGAGAAGCUCAAGGAGAGGCCACGCAUCGGCAAGGCCGUCAGCAUCUUCAUCGACAUGGACCAGACGGGAGGACGAGCAAACGAGUGGAUAUACAAGUAGCUACUAGCAGCUAGAGGCGAUCGAUCCAUCCCGUUGCUUUGCUUUGCUUUGCCUGCUCGCGAUUCAUGUUUGCAUUGAUUGAGGUCUCUUCUCCGACGAGCUGGGUGUUUCUUCUCCAGCGUCGCUGUGUGCGGGCGCGACGUGACCCGUAGCGCAGGAGCUGUAGCGGCGGCAGCGUGCAGCAACUGCAGCGGGCAG